rnacentral:rRNA from 1 species
GCCUAGCCCUAAACAGACAAUCAUUUUACAAUCGUUUUUCGCCAGGGAACAACGAGCCUCAGCUUAAAACCCAAAGGACUUGGCGGUGCUUUAGACCCACCUAGAGGAGCCUGUCCUAGAACCGAUAAUCCCCGUUUAACCUCACCCCCUCUUGUUCUUUUCCGCCUGUAUACCUCCGUCUUCAGCUCACCCUGUGAGGGCCUAGUAGUGAGCAAAAUUGGCAAUGCCUAAAACGUCAGGUCGAGGUGCAGCUUAUGAGGGGGGAAGAGAUGGGCUACAUUUUCUGCCCCAGAAAAUACGAAUUUUGCCCUGAAAAAGCAUCUGAAGGUGGAUUUAGCAGUAAGGAGAGACUAGAGCGCUCUCCUGAAGCCGGCCCUAAAGCGCGU